rnacentral:tRNA from 1 species
CGCUACGAAGCUAAUAAAGGGCCCAGCAUUAGCCUUUUAAGCUAAAAACAGGUGACUCCCGCCCACCCUUAGCGA